AGCAGCCGCGGUAAUUCCAGCUCCAAUAGCGUAUAUUAAAGUUGUUGCAGUUAAAAAGCUCGUAGUUGAAUUUCGGGAUCAAUAUGUUGGUCGUGCCUUGGUACGUACUAAUUUAUUGGUUUCUUCCUUCUGACGAACCAUGAUGUCAUUAAUUUGGUGUCUUGGGGAAUCAGGACUGUUACUUUGAAAAAAUUAGAGUGUUUAAAGCAGGCUCACGCUUGAAUACAUUAGCAUGGAAUAAUGAAAUAGGAUGUUUGAUUCUAUUUUGUUGGUUUCUAGGAUCGACGUAAUGAUUAAUAGGGAUAGUUGGGGGCAUUAGUGUUCAAUUGUCAGAGGUGAAAUUCUUGGAUUUAUUGAAGACUAACUACUGCGAAAGCAUUUGCCAAGGAUGUUUUCAUUAAUCAAGAACGAAAGUUAGGGGAUCGAAGACGAUCAGAUACCGUCGUAGUCUUAACCAUAAACUAUGCCGACUAGGGAUCGGAUGAUGUUAAUUUUUAAUAACUCAUUCGGCGCCUUACGG
rnacentral:rRNA from 1 species